UGAACGCUGGCGGCGUGCCUAAUACAUGCACGUCGAGCGAACAGACGAGGAGCUUGCUCCUCUGACGUUAGCGGCGGACGGGUGAGUAACACGUGGAUAACCUACCUAUAAGACUGGGAUAACUUCGGGAAACCGGAGCUAAUGCCGGAUAAUAUAUUGAACCGCAUGGUUCAAUAGUGAAAGACGGUUUUGCUGUCACUUAUAGAUGGAUCCGCGCCGCAUUAGCUAGUUGGUAAGGUAACGGCUUACCAAGGCAACGAUGCGUAGCCGACCUGAGAGGGUGAUCGGCCACACUGGAACUGAGACACGGUCCAGACUCCUACGGGAGGCAGCAGUAGGGAAUCUUCCGCAAUGGGCGAAAGCUUGACGGAGCAACGCCGCGUGAGUGAUGAAGGUCUUCGGAUCGUAAAACUCUGUUAUUAGGGAAGAACAAAUGUGUAAGUAACUAUGCACGUCUUGACGGUACCUAAUCAGAAAGCCACGGCUAACUACGUG
rnacentral:rRNA from 1 species